UACGUAGGGCGCAAGCGUUGUCCGGAAUUAUUGGGCGUAAAGAGCUCGUAGGCGGUUUGUCGCGUCUGCUGUGAAAGUCCAGGGCUCAACCCUGGGAUGCCGGUGGAUACUGUCGGACUAGAGUACGGAAGAGGCGAGUGGAAUUCCCGGUGUAGCGGUGAAAUGCGCAGAUAUCGGGAGGAACACCAAUUGCGAAGGCAGCUCGCUGGGACGUUACUGACGCUGAGACGCGAAAGCGUGGGGAGCAAACAGG
rnacentral:rRNA from 1 species